AGUACUCGGCCGGGUUCGAGUCCCGGGCAACCCAUAUAGAAA
rnacentral:tRNA from 1 species